UACGUAGGGUGCAAGCGUUGUCCGGAAUUAUUGGGCGUAAAGAGCGUGUAGGCGGCCCGAUUAGUCCGCUGUGAAAGUCCAGGGCUCAACCCUGGAAUGCCGGUGGAUACUGUCGGGCUCGAGUCCGGAAGAGGAGUGUGGAAUUCCUGGUGUAGCGGUGAAAUGCGCAGAUAUCAGGAGGAACACCAAUGGCGAAGGCAGCACUCUGGGACGUGACUGACGCUGAGACGCGAAAGCGUGGGGAGCAAACAGG
rnacentral:rRNA from 1 species